rnacentral:rRNA from 1 species
AGUUAUCUAGUAAGAUCUGUCAUCCUGUCAUGCAGUCGAGCUGACCGACGGAGCCUGCUCUUAAGUUCAGCGGCGGACGGGUGACGAUACAGCGUGGGUCACUGCCUGUAGACUGGAUAACUCCGGGAUAUCUGGGCUAUACCGGAUGCUUGAUGACUGCAUGUUCCAUUUAAAGGGGGCUUUAGCUACCACUACAGAUGGACCCCGCCAAUAGCCUGGUGGUGAGGUACCGCUCACCAAGGCGACCAAUCGUCCCCAACCUGAGAAGGUUAUCGGCCACAUUGGGAUUAAAAAUGCCCAAAAUUCUUACGGGAGGGAGCGGUUGGGAAAUCUCCGAAUGGACGAAGGCGGCGGAACACCGCCCGUAGGUAAUGAAGGUUUCGGAUUGAAACUUUUUUGUUAGGGAAGAACAAGUCCCGUUCGAAUGGGGUGUACCUUGACGUUCCCUUACCAGAAAGGCACGCUAACUUCGUUCAACGGCCGCGUUAUUCGUAGGUUGGCAAGGUUGCCGGGAAUAUUGGGUUUAAGCGCCCGAGGGGGUUCUAAAGUCUGAUGUGAAAGCCCCGCUCCAACCGGGGGGUUAUUGAAAACUGGGGACUGGGUCCAGAAGAGAGAGGUGAUUCACGUUUGCGGUGAAAUGGUUAAGAUGUGGAGACACCAGUGCGAAGCACUCUUUUGGCGUAACUAACGCUAGGGCGAAACUUGGGAGGCAACAGGAUUAGAUCCUGUUAGUCAGCCGAAACAUUAUGCAAGGGUAAAGGUUUCCGCUCUUGUGUCUGAGCCAACGAUAAGGACUCCCUUGGGGGUACGGUCGAAGUUUAAACUAAAGGAUUUACGGGGGCCCCCAAGCGGGGAAGAGUUGUUUAUUCGAGCAACGGUAGAACUUACAGGGCUUGCAUCCUAAAACCCUUGAAUGGUUUCCCUCGGGGCAAGUACAGUGUCAUUGUUUAUAGCCAGGUCGUAGAUGUGGUUAAUUCGCAACGGGCAUCUUUGACCUAGUGCCAAGUUUAGGUGUCAUUUAGGUACUCGGGAACAACGGAGAAGUGGGUAUAUCUAUUUAUGCCUUAAACUGGUCCACACGGUAAAUUGGUAAAAGGCGAAAUCGCGAGAGAGAAUCCAAAUCUUUUGAGUGAAGACUCCACUACUCUGAGGGAGACAUAGUACUCGAUAACCCCGGGAUAAUCCCGCGUGGCGCGGCGCUACCAAGUGUAAACACCAGCGUGUAAUCCUUGACUGCCCGCGAGGUAUUGAUGUUUA